rnacentral:rRNA from 1 species
AGUGAACGCUGGCGGUAGGCCUAACACAUGCAAGUCGAACGGCAGCUCAGUAAGAGCUUGCUCUUACGGGUGGCGAGUGGCGGACGGGUGAGGAAUACAUCGGAAUCUACUUUUUCGUGGGGGAUAACGUAGGGAAACUUACGCUAAUACCGCAUACGACCUACGGGUGAAAGCAGGGGAUCUUCGGACCUUGCGCGAUUGAAUGAGCCGAUGUCGGAUUAGCUAGUUGGCGGGGUAAAGGCCCACCAAGGCGACGAUCCGUAGCUGGUCUGAGAGGAUGAUCAGCCACACUGGAACUGAGACACGGUCCAGACUCCUACGGGAGGCAGCAGUGGGGAAUAUUGGACAAUGGGCGCAAGCCUGAUCCAGCCAUACCGCGUGGGUGAAGAAGGCCUUCGGGUUGUAAAGCCCUUUUGUUGGGAAAGAAAAGCGGCAGGUUAAUACCCCGCUGUUCUGACGGUACCCAAAGAAUAAGCACCGGCUAACUUCGUG